CAACCCUAGAGAUAGGGCUUCCCCUUCGGGGGCAGAGUGACAGGUGGUGCAUGGUUGUCGUCAGCUCGUGUCGUGAGAUGUUGGGUUAAGUCCCGCAACGAGCGCAACCCUUGAUCUUAGUUGCCAGCAUUCAGUUGGGCACUCUAAGGUGACUGCCGGUGACAAACCGGAGGAAGGUGGGGAUGACGUCAAAUCAUCAUGCCCCUUAUGACCUGGGCUACACACGUGCUACAAUGGGCAGAACAAAGGGCAGCGAAGCCGCGAGGCUAAGCCAAUCCCACAAAUCUGUUCUCAGUUCGGAUCGCAGUCUGCAACUCGACUGCGUGAAGCUGGAAUCGCUAGUAAUCGCGGAUCAGCAUGCCGCGGUGAAUACGUUCCCGGGCCUUGUACACACCGCCCGUCACACCACGAGAGUUUGUAACACCCGAAGUCGGUGAGGUAACCUUUUGGAGCCAGCCGCCGAAGGUGGGACAGAUGAUUGG
rnacentral:rRNA from 1 species